GACGAACGCUGGCGGCGUGCUUAACACAUGCAAGUCGAACGAUGAAGCCUAGCUUGCUAGGUGGAUUAGUGGCGAACGGGUGAGUAAUACGUGAGUAACCUACCUUUAACUCUGGGAUAAGCCUGGGAAACUGGGUCUAAUACCGGAUACGACCAAUCUCCGCAUGGGGUGUUGGUGGAAAGCGUUAUGUAGUGGUUAUAGAUGGGCUCACGGCCUAUCAGCUUGUUGGUGAGGUAACGGCUCACCAAGGCGACGACGGGUAGCCGGCCUGAGAGGGUGACCGGCCACACUGGGACUGAGACACGGCCCAGACUCCUACGGGAGGCAGCAGUGGGGAAUAUUGAACAAUGGGCGCAAGCCUGAUGCAGCGACGCCGCGUGAGGGAUGACGGCCUUCGGGUUGUAAACCUCUGUUAGCAGGGAAGAAGAGAAAUUGACGGUACCUGCAGAGAAAGCGCCGGCUAACUACGUG
rnacentral:rRNA from 1 species